rnacentral:ncRNA from 2 species
GGUGAACGACAGGGGAGCGCCGACCGCCCGGAGACAACGGGCAACAGGCGCUGAGAGUGCGGACCACCGCAGACCCUCGAACCUGAUCCGGUUAGCACCGGUGGAGGAAGUCGGGCUUCUCCAGCC